rnacentral:sRNA from 1 species
GCGAUAGAUCGGCUUUUUGUAGGGGCGUUCGGCUCACCUCCAUAUAUGGAAGAAGGGAGGUGAGAAAAUUUGGCUGUAGAAAGUGCAAUUCAAUUGAUGCUUUUUUUUGGGAUUCUCAUUGUAGGAAUCCUGUCAUUAGCCUAUAAUUUCACGAAAAAAAAGUAAGAACGCCCCUGACCGUCACAUCAAGGCGUUCCUACUCAUAAGUUUAGACUUAGGAAAAAGCCGACUCCCUUACAGGAGCUAUUCUAUUGCCGAUCGGAGAUGUUACCAGCAUCUUCG